AAGAUCGCACUGUUGCUUGCGCUGCUGAGCGCAGGUUUCAUCGCGAACAUGGUUUUCGUCGCCAAUUCAAGGACUGCGCUGGCUUGCAUCCCGAUCUUGUUCGUUCUUUUCCUCGCGAUGUAUUUCAGCAAACGCACGGCGGUCAUAUUGGUGAUAGGCGGCAUCAUUGCGGCGACCCUCGCCUGGAAUACGUCGUCAUACCUGCGUUCUCGUGUGGAGCAAGCGAUUACCGAGUAUCAAGCCUACCGCACGUCGCAUGCCGCAACAUCGGCCGGGCAGCGGCUGGAA
rnacentral:misc_RNA from 1 species